rnacentral:rRNA from 1 species
UGAAUACGAGACGCUAAGGCGUCGAAGUAGUGUAUGUCAUACUUCCAAGAAAAGCUUGCACUGUCAUAGAUAAAAAACGCCUGUACCAUAACCGACACAGGUGGGUAGGUAGAGUAUACUAAGGGGCGCGAGAUAACUCUCUCUAAGGAACUCGGCAAAAUAACUCCGUAACUUCGGGAGAAGGAGUGCCUUAUUUAUAAGGCUGCAAUAACAAGAUCCAAGCAACUGUUUAUCAAAAACACAGGUCUCCGCUAAGUCGUAAGACGAUGUAUGGGGGCUGACGCCUGCCCAGUGCCAGAAGGUUAAAGAAGUUGGUUAGCUUUUGCGAAGCUGAUAACUGAAGCCCUGGUGAACGGCGGCCGUAACUAUAACGGUCCUAAGGUAGCGAAAUUCCUUGUCGGGUAAGUUCCGACCCGCACGAAAGGCGUAAUGAUUUGGAUACUGUCUCGGAGAGGGGCUCGGUGAAAUAGACUUGUCUGUGAAGAUGCGGACUACCUGCACCAGGACAGAAAGACCCUAUGAAGCUUUACUGUAACUAGAAAUUGAAAUUGGACUUUAUUCGCGCAGCAUAGGUGGGAGGCGUUGAUUAUAAUCUCGUGGGAUUAUUGGAGCCAUCAGUGAGAUACCACUCUUGUAAUGUUAGAUUUCUAACUUUGAAUCAUUAUCUGGUCAAAGAACAGUUUCAGGCGGGCAGUUUGACUGGGGCGGUCGCCUCCUAAACGGUAACGGAGGCGUACAAAGGUUUCCUCUGAACGGUUAGAAAUCGUAUCUAGAGUGUAAAGGCAUAAGGAAGCUUGACUGUGAGACCUACAAGUCGAGCAGGGACGAAAGUCGGUCUUAGUGAUCUGACGGUACUGAGUGGAAAGGCCGUCACUCAACGGAUAAAAGUUACUCUAGGAUAACAGGCUGAUCUCCCCCAAGAGUUCACAUCGACGGGGAGGUUUGGCACCUCGAUGUCGGCUCAUCGCAUCCUGGGGCGGUAGUACGUCCCAAGGGUUGGGCUGUUCGCCCAUGAAAGCGGUACGCGAGCUGGGUUCAGAACGUCGUGAGACAGUUCGGUCCAUAUCCGGUGUAGGCGUUAGAAUAUUGAGAGGAGCCUUCUUUAGUACGAGAGGACCGAGAAGGACAUACCUCUGGUGUACCAGUUAUCGUGCCAACGGUAAACGCUGGGUAGCUAUGUAUGGAGUGGAUAACCGCUGAAAGCAUCUAAGUGGGAAGCCCACCUCAAGAUAAG